rnacentral:lncRNA from 1 species
UGAAAGGUUAACCACCGAUUUUUAAACCUUAGUCACUAAGAACUGAGCAUUGUGUUUUCUCUUUUGACGACUAUAAACCAAAGUAUCUUGAGGUUGAAGUUGAGUUCGAUCUUGAGUGGUAAACGGUCGAGCUUGACUACUUCUAGUCAGGUGUUCAGUUGCUCUAAUUAUCUCCUUCAUCGCCAUAAUUCAUUGCAUGCUUCAGAGUUCAGAAUCAUCGAUGACUCAUUCACUUGAGUCAAGACAUCGUAUUUGGAUGGAAGCAUAUUUCUUGGAGCCACUUUCAAUGAGUAAUUUGUUUCUUUUGAGCCUCUCACUCAACUUCAUGUUGUAGUUGACGUAAGUGAGGUUAGCAAGUCAAGUGACACCCAACCGACUCUGUGUAAAACUGCAAAUGACAUUUGACAUUAGAGUUUUUAAAUGUCAAAUGACCUAAAAUAGGUAAUCAAAGAAGCAAAAAGUUUACAAAUGUGAAAGUACUCUAUAAAAAAUCGUAACUUGAAGUAGAGAAAGAGAAACAUAACUUGAAUAUUUAUUACCGUAUCGGCAACGCCUAAACAAAUCCGAUUACCCCUUGCGCACUUCGACCAAUCAAGCUUCCUCAAGAUUUCCUUGGCUUCAUUUAGGCUUUGUAGGGUGAGGAAACUAAGCUCACGAUGGCCGUCGGAUUUGAAGUAAAAGAAGCUUUUUAGUAAAAAAAAGGUUUGGGGACAUCUGGAUUGUCGUCGGAUCUGAAGUUCUGGAAGAAACCAAGCUCUGGAAGGGGAAAUUGCCGUUGUUAUUUUUUAAAUAGACUAGACGGUAGGGGAAACAAAUAGACUAGACGGUAGGGGAAACAACGGGACGGUUUGCCGCUGGUCAGCUUUGCCCCGUGUCCCAGUCUAUGAAGACCGGGGCAAAACUGGGGCGGAGUGCGAACGGAGCAGUGGUGAGGCGGGGCAAAAUAAGAAGGAUUUUGAUGGUUUUUCUCGCCCCGAAAAAACAACGGGGCGGAAAAAAUUACUUUUUUGAAAAAUCCCUGCUCUAACCCCAUUCCCAUCGGGGCAUGG